AUACGUAGGGGGCGAGCGUUGUCCGGAAUGAUUGGGCGUAAAGGGCGCGUAGGCGGCGCGGUAAGUCUGGAGUGAAAGUCCUGCUUUCAAGGUGGGAAUUGCUUUGGAUACUGCCGCGCUUGAGUGCAGGAGAGGUUAUCGGAAUUCCCGGUGUAGCGGUGUAAUGCGUAGAGAUCGGGAGGAACACCAGUGGCGAAGGCGGGUAACUGGACUGCAACUGACGCUGAGGCGCGAAAGUGUGGGGAGCAAACAGGAUUAGAUACCCUGGUAGUCCACACUGUAAACGAUGAAUGCUAGGUGUAAGAGGUAUCGACCCCUUUUGUGCCGGAGUCAACACAAUAAGUAUUCCACCUGGGGAGUACGGCCGCAAGGUUGAAACUCAAAUGAAUUGACGGGG
rnacentral:rRNA from 1 species